UGUAUGAGUCAAUUGCUGUUAAGUACUAGUACUUAAUAGAGGAAAGUCCAUGCUUGCACAUACUGAAAUGUAUGUAACGAUUUAGCUAACUUAAUCAAUAAAGUUAGGCACCAAAUUUAUUUUGGUGACGGAUAUAACAACUUCUAAGGUAAUUAUUACUAUGAAGAUUGUUAUGAACGGACCACAGAGACGAGUUAGAUGGAAACAUCUAAGUGAAACGCGGUAACCCCCUAAAGUAAGAAACCGUAAGUUAAUCCUGUAAUGGGAAUGGUAACGGGAAUGUGAUGAAUGGAAUUUAAAGUAACAUUCAUUAUGACACAAACAAUUGUGUAGAUAAAUAAUUGACACCUAAUUUUUAAAUUAGAUACAGAACAUGGCUUAUGAUU
rfam:Candidatus Mycoplasma girerdii strain VCT_M1, complete genome.